CUCGGCUCAUGGGUCGAUGAACCCCUUAAAAAACUGUGCGUCAUCGUGUGAACUGCAGGACACUCUUUAAAAGAAAUUUUGAAUGUAUAUUGUAGUAUAUGGUGUUUUGUAGUUUAAUUAAUUUUAUAGUGAUGUUUGGAUUAGAUAUGGUUGAGGGUUG
rnacentral:rRNA from 1 species